AAAUUGAAGAGUUUGAUCAUGGCUCAGAUUGAACGCUGGCGGCAGGCCUAACACAUGCAAGUCGAACGGUAACAGGAAGCAGCUUGCUGAUU
rnacentral:rRNA from 1 species